GAUCAUGGCUCAGGAUGAACGCUGGCGGCGUGCCUAAUACAUGCAAGUCGAACGCUUCACAUAUGUGAAGAGUGGCGAACGGGUGAGUAAUACAUAAGUAACCUGGCCUUUACAGGGGGAUAACUGUUGGAAACGAUAGCUAAGACCGCAUAGGUGUGAUAACCGCAUGGAGAUGACAUGAAAUAUGCUACGGCAUAGGUAGAGGAUGGACUUAUGGCGCAUUAG
rnacentral:rRNA from 1 species